rnacentral:rRNA from 1 species
AUUGAACGCUGGCGGCAGGCUUAACACAUGCAAGUCGAGCGGGGAAAGGUAGCUUGCUACCUGACCUAGCGGCGGACGGGUGAGUAAUGCUUAGGAAUCUGCCUAUUAGUGGGGGACAACAUUCCGAAAGGAAUGCUAAUACCGCAUACGACCUACGAGGGAAAGCAGGGGAGCUUCGGACCUUGCGCUAAUAGAUGAGCAGAAGUCAGAUUAGCUAGUUGUUGGGGUAAAGGCCUACCAAGUCGACGAUCUGUAGCGGGUCUGAGAGGAUGAUCCGCCACACUGGGACUGAGACACGGCCCAGACUCCUACGGGAGGCAGCAGUGGGGAAGAUUGGACAAUGGGCGAAAGCCUGAUCCAGCCAUGCCGCGUGUGUGAAGAAGGCCUUUUGGUUGUAAAGCACUUUAAGCGAGGAGAAGGCUACUUGGAUUAAUACUCUAGGAUAGUGGACGUUACUCGCAGAAUAAGCACCGGCUAACUCUGUGCCAGCCGCCGCGGUAAAAC